UACGUAGGCAGCGAGCGUUGUUCGGAGUUACUGGGCGUAAAGGGUGUGUAGGCGGUCCUCUAAGUUUGGUGUGAAAUCUCCCGGCUCAACCUGUGAAUGCCGCUGGAAACUGUCUGGCUAGAGUCCGGAAGGGGCGAGUGGAAUUCCUGGUGUAGCGGUGAAAUGCGCAGAUAUCAGGAGGAACACCAAUGGCGAAGGCAGCAGACUGGGGCACUCCUGACACUGAAACAUGAAAGCGUGGGGAUCAAACAGG
rnacentral:rRNA from 1 species